CCCCCAAUCCCUUCCCUCCUUCCCUCCCUUCUCCCCAUCCCCAUCCACGGAUCCAUCCUAUGGACCCCAUCCUAUGUGUCCCUGAAGACCCCCGAGUGGCAUAGCAUUCGUUUGCAUGUGUGUGGCAUUGGCAGGGGAGUCUGGGCAGGGGGUGGUCAGUGCAAUGACUUGGGCCUGAAAGAAUGAGGUUUUGGUGGUGAGCUCUUCCCCUGUGGAGCUGAAUGUGCAGCCGUGUGUUUUGUUCACGGCUUCCUGCGUCUGCCCUCUAGAGGCCCACAGAAGCCUCGCACCUCCCCAGCCCGGCGUCUGCGGGUGAAUUGUCUGAGCAGGAGCACAACAGCUUAAGCUUCAUGUUCUCCGGGCCCAGGUGAAAUACUCUCACCCCCUCUGAUGGCCACUUUCCAAUCCUGUUAUCCGCCCCCAGUCUUGUGAUCUGUCCCACAGCAAACACUCCUUCCAGGUGUGAGUUGUGCCAAGGAACACUGUUUCGUUGUCACACAUAGUACUUAGACGCAGUGAGUGAAGAGACACUUGGUCCCGGGCCCCCUUCUCUGCACACACUGCCCUGUGUGCUACAGCAUGCCAGGCAGGGUGCCAGGACAGCAGGCCCGUGAAGACCAUGGCGGCGGCUGUCUGAAGACCAGCUCACAGCAGGAGCUGCGCUGAGAUCUUCUCCUGGGUGCUCAUGCUGGGGCCCGAGGUCGUAUGGAAAAGGCUUGUCCCCCUUGCUGGAUGUCACAAGGCUCAGCCACGUGGAUAGAAGCUGCUUGGAUGACCACAUUAAGUGAAUGGCCGCAUCUGUGCACUGGCUCUGCAGCCCUGGGCAGCGACACAGAGACAGCAAGCAGAGCAUCCAUCACCAGGAUUCUCAGGCAGGUGUUACACCAGAGCUCAUGCGUGUCUGGCCCCAGGCUCUGAGCUGUGGCGCAUUCUUCUUGCACAUGCCCUGUAGGCCGGGUGAAAUGUUGUCACUGAAGGUGAGCUAGGAAGUCACAGGGCAGGUUUCACAAGAGACACAUCACAAAGACCCUGCUCAUAAAACAGGAUGUGGGAGAGAAGCCAGCCAAAACCAAGAUGGUGGCAAAAGAAACCUCUGUUCAUUAUACACUAAUCAUAAUGCAUUUGCAUAUGCUCAAUGACGUGCCUGGCAGCACCAAGACAGUUUACAGACGCCAUGGCAACGUCUGGAAGUUACCCUAUGGGGUCUGAAGUGGGGAGGAAUUCUCAGUUCUUGGGGAAUUCCCUGCCUUUUUCCCAGAAAACUCAUGAAUAAUCCACCUGUUGUUCGGCAUAUAAUCAAGAAAUAACCAUAAAAAUAGCCACCCUUUUAUUCCUGUGCGGUAACCACCCAUUUAUUUCUUUACUUUCUUGAUUAACCUGAUUUCACUCUGUCCUCUUGCUCUUUUUUUUUUUUUGAGACAGAGUCUCGCCCUGUCACCAGGCUGGAGUGCAGUGGCAUGAACUCAGCUCACUGCAACCUCCACCUCCCGGGUUCCAGCGAUUCUCCUGCCUCAGCCUCCCGAGUAGCUGGGAUUACAGAUGUGCACCACCACGUCCAGCUAAUCUUUGUAUUUUUAGUAGAGAUGGGAUUUCACCAUGUUGGCCAGGCUGGUCUCAAAAUCCUGACCUCAAGCAAUCCACCUGCCUCGGCCUCCCAAAGUGCUGGGAUUACAGGCGUGAGCCACUGUGCCCAGCCUGUCCUCUCACUCUUGAAUUCCUUCCUGCAUGACACUAAGAACCCAUGUGACCUCCCGGGAUGAGCCCCGAUUUGGGGGUUCACCUGUGAUAAAGUAAGCUGGUGAACAGCAGGGAAGCACUCUGUGUCUGUAGCUUCCUGUGAGUAUGCAAUCAUUUCAAAAUUAAAAGUUUGUUAAAGCUAUAAAAAUUAUAAAAUAAAUUAAUAAAAAUCAUUGUCUCAAUCUUCACAACAA